rnacentral:rRNA from 1 species
GCUUGUCUCAAAGAUUAAGCCAUGCAUGUCUAAGUAUAAAUCUUUUACUUUGAAACUGCGAACGGCUCAUUAUAUCAGUUAUAGUUUAUUUGAUAGUCCCUUACUACUUGGAUAACCGUAGUAAUUCUAGAGCUAAUACAUGCAUGAAUACCCAACUGCUUGUCGGGCGGGUAGCAUUUAUUAGAUUGAAACCAAUGCAGCUUCGGCUGGUAUUGUGUUGAAUCAUAAUAACUGUGCGGAUCGUACUUUGUGCGAUAAAUCGAUUGAGUUUCUGCCCUAUCAGCUUUGGAUGGUAGGAUAUGGGCCUACCAUGGCAUUAACGGGUAACGGGGAAUUAGGGUUUGAUUCCGGAGAGGGAGCCUUAGAAACGGCUACCACAUCCAAGGAAGGCAGCAGG